AAAACGUUUUUGUCGAUGUCUUGAAAAUUGUCAAACGUCACCAAAUUGAACGUUUACUCAAAGGUUUCGAUCUAGGGAUGCAGUUUAUAUUCAAAGAUAAAUUGGAAAAAUGGCGAGAAUCUAUUGGAAUUCCACUGAGUCCAGUUUAUCAAGAUUUCUGAAGCACAUCAUCCAGUUCUGUUUCUUCUACUCAUGGAUCAAACACUAAGACACCUACAAGAUUUAUGCCAUACCAGAGAUCUAUAUCUAGUCCUGAUAAUUCAUGUAUCGGGAUAAUGCUCGCUGAUAUUCUUAAUGAAAAUUCAAGAGGAAAGGGCCUUGUCGAUUAUUAUAAUAAGUUUUUAAGUUUCCAUGAAGAUCAACGAUCAGUUCUUAUUUCUUUAAUAGCUCAUUCUUAUGAAGAGAAAGGUGUGAAGAUGUCUCUAGCUGCCAGUUACCAACUAGAAAAACAAAUUUUUUGAAAGGUUUCCAUCUGAAAAAAUGGAAUAUUACAGAACUGCAAAGAGAGGCAACCUCUAUAACAAAUUUUAUAAUCUUACUACAUCAUUUAAAGUAGUAUCAGGACCUCUAGGAAAUUCUGUAGAAAAAAAAUCUUCUAUUAAUUCAGAUAAAAUCAGCAGACAUUUAAAAAAUGUUGAGCCAGAAAAUGAUGCCGAGAGUUGUAUUAAAGCACUUAAGUUUGAUAAUUUAAGUUCAUUUGAAUUUGAUUACACAUGGAAGGCCUGUUGUAAUUCAAGAAUUCAAUAUAUUAAAAGUAAUACCACUAAAGACGUAUGGAAAAAUGACCAUUUUACAAACAACCAAGUGGUUAUCGACUGAUUGACAUGGACUUUAAGAUAUAAUUUAGUCCACAUGAUACACUUCUUGAAAAAUGGGAAGCAUGUUUUAAUAGCAUCAUAUCUUUUCUAUCUAAAGAAAACCAUAUCAAGGACAGAAAUGUAAAAAAAAUCAUUGAGACAUUAUUGACUGAUGUUGGCAUAUCAGAGAGUAAGCUAAAAUUAUCUUUUUUUUUUUAAAUAUUUGCAUUUCAAAACUGCAGGGCUUAAAUUCUUAAUGUUAUUGAAUUUUUACAUGUUAUUUUAAUUUUUCGGUUUUUGUUAAACGGUAUAAUUCAAAAAUAAAUAGGGAAUUCAUUUUUUUUACAUACCUACCAAGUACCAAUACUAACAUAACUACCUAAAUAUAAAGCAUACAUUUUAAUAUUCUAUACAUACCACCACCGAUAAAGUUCAUGAUUGGAUCCAUUAUCAUUCUGUAUUAGGUUAUUGUAAUACAUAAGGACAACAUAUUUAAAAAGUCACUAAAAAAGUUGUAUUUCUUCAAUAACUUUACUUCAGGCUUAAGAAGUUGUAAACUGUUACCAAGUUAGAAAGCUACUAAUCAAUUAUU